CGGCGGACGGGUGAGUAACGCGUGGGUAACCUGCCUCAUACGAGGGGGGAACAGUUAAGAAAUGGCUGCUAAUACCGCAUAAGACCACGGUACUGCAUGGUACAGUGGUAAAAACUCCGGUGGUAUGAGAUGGACCCGCGUCUGAUUAGGUAGUUGGUGAGGUAACGGCCCACCAAGCCGACGAUCAGUAGCCGACCUGAGAGGGUGACCGGCCACAUUGGGACUGAGACACGGUCCAG
rnacentral:rRNA from 1 species